UAGGGAAUCUUCCACAAUGGGCGCAAGUCUGAUGGAGCAACGCCGCGUGAGUGAAGAAGGUUUUCGGAUCGUAAAGCUCUGUUGUUGGUGAAGAAGGAUAGAGGCAGUAACUGGUCUUUAUUUGACGGUAAUCAACCAGAAAGUCACGGCUAACUACGUGCCAGCAGCCGCGGUAAUACGUAGGUGGCAAGCGUUGUCCGGAUUUAUUGGGCGUAAAGCGAGCGCAGGCGGAAUGAUAAGUCUGAUGUGAAGGCCCACGGCUCAACCGUGGAACUGCAUCGGAAACUGUCAUUCUUGAGUGCAGAAGAGGAGAGUGGAACUCCAUGUGUAGCGGUGGAAUGCGUAGAUAUAUGGAAGAACACCAGUGGCGAAGGCGGCUCU
rnacentral:rRNA from 1 species